GACGAACGCUGGCGGCGUGCCUAAUACAUGCAAGUGGGACGCAAGGAAACACACUGUGCUUGCACACCGUGUUUUCUUGAGUCGCGAACGGGUGAGUAACGCGUAGGUAACCUGCCUAUUAGCGGGGGAUAACUAUUGGAAACGAUAGCUAAUACCGCAUAAUAUUAAUUAUUGCAUGAUAAUUGAUUGAAAGAUGCAAGCGCAUCACUAGUAGAUGGACCUGCGUUGUAUUAGCUAGUUGGUAAGGUAAGAGCUUACCAAGGCGACGAUACAUAGCCGACCUGAGAGGGUGAUCGGCCACACUGGGACUGAGACACGGCCCAGACUUCUACGGGAGGCAGCAGUAGGGAAUCUUCGGCAAUGGACGAAAGUCUGACCGAGCAACGCCGCGUGAGUGAAGAAGGUUUUCGGAUCGUAAAGCUCUGUUGUAAGUCAAGAACGUGUGUGAGAGUGGAAA
rnacentral:rRNA from 1 species